rnacentral:rRNA from 1 species
GUGUAUGACCAUACUACUCUAAAUACCCCUAAUUUCAAAAGAUAAGCAGGAUCAUGCCUGGUUAGUGUUGGGAUGGGAAACCACCUGUGGAUACUAGUACUCUAGGUU